rnacentral:rRNA from 1 species
UACGUAGGGGGCAAGCGUUGUCCGGAUUUAUUGGGCGCAAAGAGCGUGUAGGCGGCCGUACAGGUCAGCUGUGAAAACUCGAGGCUCAACCUCGAGACGUCGGUUGAAACCGUACGGCUAGAGUCCGGAAGAGGAGAGUGGAAUUCCCGGUGUAGCGGUGAAAUGCGCAGAUAUCGGGAAGAACACCCGUGGCGAAGGCGGCUCUCUGGGACGGUACUGACGCUGAGACGCGAAAGCGUGGGGAGCGAACAGG